rnacentral:rRNA from 1 species
AUCGAACGCUGGCGGCAGGCCUAACACAUGCAAGUCGAGCGGAGCGGCGGACGGGUGAGUAAUGCCUAGGUAUCUGCCUGGUCGUGGGGGAUAGCGUACGGACACGGGCGCUAAUACAGCACACUAUCAGAUGAGCCUAGGCCGGAUUAGCUAGUUGGUGGGGUAAAGGCCUACCAAGGCGACGAUCCGUACCUGGUCUGAGAGGAUGAUCAGUCACACUGGAACUGAGACACGGUCCAGACUCCUACGGGAGGCAGCAGUGGGGAAUAUUGGACAAUGGGCGAAAGCCUGAUGCAGCCAUGCCGCGUGUGUGAAGAAGGUCUUCGGAUUGUAAAGCACUUUAAGUUGGGAGGCGUUACCAACAGAAUAAGCACCGGCUAACUACGUGCCAGCAGCCGCGGUAAUAC